rnacentral:rRNA from 1 species
CCUGWUCMRGCAUGCCGCGUGAGUGAAGAAGGCCUUCGGGUUGUAAAGCUCUUUUGUCCGGGAGGAAAUCGCCCAUGUGAAUAAUGUGGGUGGAUGACAGUACUGGAAGAAUAAGCACCGGCUAACUACGUGCCAGCAGCCGCGGUAAUACGUAGGGUGCGAGCGUUAAUCGGAAUUACUGGGCGUAAAGGGUGCGCAGGUGGUUUAUCAAGCCAGAUGUGAAAUCCCCGGGCUUAACCUGGGAAUGGCAUUUGGGACUGAUAGACUAGAGUACUGGCAGAGGGGGGUAGAAUUCCACGUGAGCAGUGAAAUGCGAGAGAUGUGAGAAUCCGAUGCGAAGCACCCCCUGGGUUGAUCUGCACUCAACACGAAAGGUGGGUAGCAAACAGGAUUAGAUACCCUGGUAGUCCACGCCCUAAACGAUGUCUACUAGUUGUUGGGAGAUUAACUCUCUUAGUAACGCANCUAACGCGAGAAGUAGACCGCCUGGGGAGUACNGUCGCAAGAUUAAAACUCAAAGGAAUUGACNGG